rnacentral:rRNA from 1 species
UACGAAGGGGGCUAGCGUUGUUCGGAAUUACUGGGCGUAAAGCGCACGUAGGCGGAUCGAUCAGUCAGGGGUGAAAUCCCAGGGCUCAACCCUGGAACUGCCUUUGAUACUGUCGAUCUGGAGUAUGGAAGAGGUGAGUGGAAUUCCGAGUGUAGAGGUGAAAUUCGUAGAUAUUCGGAGGAACACCAGUGGCGAAGGCGGCUCACUGGUCCAUUACUGACGCUGAGGCACGAAAGCUAGGGUAGCGAACGGG